rnacentral:rRNA from 1 species
UACGUAGGGUGCAAGCGUUGUCCGGAAUUAUUGGGCGUAAAGAGCUCGUAGGCGGUCUGUUACGUCGGCUGUGAAAACCUGGGGCUCAACUCCGGGCCUGCAGCCGAUACGGGCAGACUAGAGUUCGGCAGGGGAGACUGGAAUUCCUGGUGUAGCGGUGAAAUGCGCAGAUAUCAGGAAGAACACCCGUGGCGAAGGCGGCUCUCUGGGACGGUACUGACGCUGAGACGCGAAAGCGUGGGGAGCGAACAGG